rnacentral:tRNA from 1 species
GCCCAGAUGGCGGAAUUGGUAGACGCGCCAGACUCAAAAUCUGGUUUUCGCAAGAAAGUGCAGGUUCGAUUCCUGUUCUGGGCA